AUUAACAUUAUAAACAUUCAGUUUUGGUGCCGUUCAUCCUUUGAGCCAAAAUACAUAAACAUACCAGACGGCAAAUGCCAGCUCUCCCCAGAUUUUGUGUGAUCAAAAUUACAUGCGCGCACGCAGACCUUUUGUCUUU